rnacentral:lncRNA from 1 species
AUGUUCUUGAACAAGGGGGAAGAAAUCAACAUUGAAAGAGUUCAUAGGACACCCUCUACACUAAAUCCUCAAAAUAAUUUACACUUGCUUCUAUCAGAUGGAGAGAAUAAGAGAAGCUCCAUAAUUCAAGAAAAAGCACUGGAGAUCAAAUGCUUACAGUCUAAUAGGCUGGAGGUGGUUUGGACCUAUUUUGUUCAUUUUAAGAGAGUAAAUAUACAGGAGGGAAAUGGUAAUACACUAAGUCAAAACCAAGGAUUUUUUUUUUUUAAUAAUUGGAGUAUGCCCAAAUACAAGUAUAUGAAUAUGGAGAAAGUGGUGAGGGUGGGAGGUAGGCAUCUAAUGAGCCUUGUAUCAGUAGAUUGAACACACAUAUACAUACAAGGAAUUUGGUGUGGAAAUGCAUAAAAUUCAACAGGGUAUUGGAUGGGGACAGUGAGAGGAGAAAGGGAAGUUUGAGAAGGAAGGAAUAGUUCUAAGAAAAAUUAACUUCAAGGAUACUUAUUUGCUACAAGUGAGUACCUCUAUGCAGAGCAAGGGUGGUGGUGUGGAUAAUUCAUAAGUAGUGGUUGUGAUAAAAAAAAAGAAGAAAAGAAGAGUAUCAAUGAAAUAUUUGAAAAUAUAGAGAACAGAGCAAGGAGAAGGGAACACAGAAAAGCAUAACAAAUAAGUUUAAAAAAACUAUUAUUUUAAUUUAAUAUGCAUUUAAGAAUGUAUAUGAUAGAAACUCAUAGUUUCUUACAUAAUCCUCUUUUUCUAUUAUUGGUAUAUAGAAAUGUUCAUGCUGGUUGAUAUUUGUUAAGGUCCUAUUUAAAAAAAAUAUUUUGAGAAAGACCAAUGGAUUUGGUGUAAGAGGAUCUGGACUGAGAGUUCUUGCUUUGCUACUGAGCUGUGAGACCUCAGACAAGUCACUGAAGCUUCUUCAGUAUUAGUUUCCAUAGGUGCAAAAUGAGGAAAUUGGACUAAUGACCUUUGUGGUCCUUUCAGCUCUAAUCCUCUAAACCAAAAUCUUUUUUUAAUAAAAAAAUUUUAUUUAUUUAUUUAUAAAACCUU